rnacentral:rRNA from 1 species
UACGUAGGGGGCAAGCGUUGUCCGGAAUCAUUGGGCGUAAAGCGCGUGUAGGCGGCUCGGUAAGUCUGCUGUGAAAGUCCAGGGCUCAACCCUGGGAUGCCGGUGGAUACUGUCGAGCUCGAGUCCGGAAGAGGCGAGUGGAAUUCCUGGUGUAGUGGUGAAAUGCGUAGAGAUCGGGAGGAACACCUGUGGCGAAGGCGGCCCCCUGGGCCGGCCCUGACACUGAGACGCGAAGGCGUGGGGAGCGAACGGG